rnacentral:lncRNA from 1 species
GUAUAGCUAGGUAGUUUUGUUCCACAUGAUAUUGGCUGGGCCUGAAGGAUCCACUUCCCAGAUGGAUUCUCCACUCACACAUGGGAUCUCAUCCUUUGCAGCUGCUUCACAUGGCCUAGCUUUCUCAUACCAUGGUUGUCUCAAGAUAAUCACACUUCUUACAAGAGGUUAAGCAUCUGUUUUAUUCAAACCUGGGUAAGUCAGAAGCUUUAGGCAGCCUGUUUUGCAGGAAAUUUAGUGCUGGAAUGUCUUCCUACCUCACUCUCCCAAGAACCUGCUCCUGCAGAUGAAACCUCAGAACCCCUCCUUCUUGUCAAAAAGGGGCUGGUCUUCAGCCUUGAAGUCCAGGUUGGGGCUGCCAAACUCAUUGAGAAUUGUCUGAGCCCUGUAGCUGACAAUUGGGUGUUUGGCUUUGUACACACUGGUGAAGACAUCAUCCAUGGACUACAACUUCUUGGCUAUGAGACCUGUGGUGUGUCACAGUGCCUCUUCUUGCCCAUGGAAGGACAUGCAGCUUCUUACUCCUCUGCUGCCCAACACAGUUUACUGGCUGGCCACUCCAUGGCUAGGAUCCUUCACACUACCUGAGACCUGAUGUCUCUGGCUCCAAAGGACGCAGCUCUGCUCAUCCCCCAGUGAGGCCUGUCAUGAGUUGCUGUGGCUGUGGAAGCCUGCCAUCCUGGGAUGGAGACUUUUCCCACCACCCUGUCCCUUUAAUUUCAGCAGGCACAUCAUCCCGCCUCAUGUGGAUCCCCAGAGCAGCAGAUCUGGAAUCUCCUGUGAUGCUGAGGCCUUCAGGGACCACAGGAAACCCAUCUUAAUGAUGAAUCCUGGACUUUCUUUGCCCUUGGAACAGUCCUGGUUUCACACAUUUACCUCCAAAAGAGCACUUAACAGCUGCCACGUGGCUGCCCUGAGGUUUGGGCUGAAACAACAUGACCGUCAUACCUUCCCAGAGUCCUCCCAAGAAUGGUCUCUAGGUUCUCCUUCGCACAGUGGGGUACGAUGGGCUACUCUGCCCAAUCUGUGUACUCUCCUUGGGCUACUCUGCCCAAACUGUGAUUUGGGGCAUAUAGCUAUGCCUUCUCUGGUUCCUCUGUACCAAGGUCUCUCCAGUGGCUACCUCUUCUACUCAGCAGGACAGAGAAGCUCUCUUGGUUUUUAUUCUUAGGAUCCAGGUUCAGAAAACAAAUAAACAAACAAACAAACAAAAAACCUCAUGGUAGCUAAUCUGCCCCCUCCCUUCUCUAUGAAAUGGGCAGGCAGAGAAAAUCCCCCUGGCCCUGCCUAGCCCAUCCAUUCCUAAGGGACCUUCCCAUAGCCAGAUUGCAAGAGGAGAGCAAAUUUAAAUGAAAUAAAUAUGAAUUUCCUCCUA